rnacentral:rRNA from 1 species
GGUGAACGCUAGCGGCAGGCCUAACACAUGCCAGUCGAGGGAGGACCCUUCGGGCUUCUACCGGCGUACGGGUGCGUAACGCGUCUACAAUCUGCCUUUCCCAUAGGGAUAGCCCGAUGAAAUUUGGAUUAAUACCUAAUGCUAUAUAGAUGUGUCCUCCCCUUUAUAUUAAACCUGAGGCGGUGAAAGCUGAGUAUGCGUUCUAUUAGCUAGUUGGAGAGGUAACGGCUCCCCAAGGCGACGCUAGAAUGGGGUUCUGCGAGGGAUAUCCACCACACUGGUAAUGAGAUACGGACUAGAACCGUACGGGAGGGAGCAGUGAGGAAGAUAGGACGAGGGUCGGAAGACUGAUCCAGCCAUGCCGCGUGCAGGAAGACGGGCUUAGGGGUUGUAAACUGCUGUUGCAGAAGAAGAAUAAGGAAUACGCGUAGUUUGAUGACGGUACUCAGCGAAUAAGCAUCGGCUAACUCCGUG